rnacentral:rRNA from 1 species
GACGAACGCUGGCGGCGUGCUUAACACAUGCAAGUCGAACGGAAAGGCCCUGCUUUUGUGGGGUGCUCGAGUGGCGAACGGGUGAGUAACACGUGAGUAACCUGCCCUUGACUUUGGGAUAACUUCAGGAAACUGGGGCUAAUACCGGAUAGGAGCUCCUGCUGCAUGGUGGGGGUUGGAAAGUUUCGGCGGUUGGGGAUGGACUCGCGGCUUAUCAGCUUGUUGGUGGGGUAGUGGCUUACCCAGGCUUUGGCGGGUAGCCGGCCUGGGAGGGUGACCGGCCACAUUGGGACUGAGGUACGGCCCAGACUCCAACGGGAGGCAGCAGGGGGGAAUAUUGCACAAUGGGCGGAAGCCUGAUGCAGAAACGCCGGGUGGGGAAUGACGGCCUUCGGGUGGUAAACCGCUUUCGCCUGUGACGAAGCGGGAGUGACGGUAAUGGGUAAAGAAGCACCGGCUAACUACGUG